UACGUAGGGGGCGAGCGUUGUCCGGAAUCAUUGGGCGUAAAGAGCACGUAGGCGGCCUGUCAGGUCGGAUGUGAAAACCCGCGGCUCAACUGCGGGAUUGCAUUCGAAACCGGCAGGCUAGAGUCCAGUAGAGGAAAGUGGAAUUCCCAGUGUAGCGGUGAAAUGCGCAGAUAUUGGGAAGAACACCGGCGGCGAAGGCGGCUUUCUGGGCUGUGACUGACGCUGAGGUGCGAAAGCUAGGGGAGCGAACAGGAUUAGAAACCCCUGUAGUCC
rnacentral:rRNA from 1 species